rnacentral:misc_RNA from 1 species
CAUGGAAAAUAUCGUAAAACGUGAACGUUCCACGAAUUUUAACAAAAGCGAAAUAAGAUUAUUGACUGAAUUGGUGGCAAAACACCGUACUAUAAUUGAAAAUAAGCAGACAGACGCCGUAACCAAUAAAGAAAAGGAAGCAGCGUGGAUAAAAAUCAGUUCAUUAUUUAAUGCGGCUACGGGAUUUACAGCGAGGAGUACCAAGAGCCUGAAGCUUAAAUAUGAAGGCAUAAAAAAGGAAACCAAAAAAACAUUGGCCAAACAUCGGCAAGAGCUGUACAAAACUGGUGGCGGGCCCUCUUCAGCCCCAGAGGUUACAGAUAUACAGGAGAGGGUUAUCGCGAUAUGUUCGAAUAUCAAUGGGCUGGAUGCUCGAAAUGACAGCGACAAAAUUCCAGAACCUUUAGAACUGGAAGAGACUGCUAAAGUUGACCCGCUAUCGUUGCCACUGCAAUCAUUAGAAAAUAAUUUAGUAAUUGUACCAUGUGAUGACGAUAUUCCGUGUACUUUAGAUCAAGAAGAGUUUUGCCCGCAACAGGAUUUAAAGGAGAAAGUUAACAGUGAAAUUGGAAAUGGUAUUUUAAUUUAUUGAAAAAAAAGUACAUAGUAUAAUAGUGUAAUAAAAUAUAAUAGUAAAUUAAUUUGUUUUCAGACAAGGCCUUUGAUGACUUUCAAUCUAUAGAGAUACAGGAUAUGGAAGUGGAUCAAACUGAAAAAGAGAAUAAGUGGUCUUCAUGGAAGCCAAAGGCUUUAAAAACUAAGAUUAGUCCAUACUUGAAAAGUAAUCAAAAAAUUACUAAAGUUGGAGUGACUGCAAAACUGGACCAUUUAACUGAAUCUCGCUUAGAGCUAGUGAAGCUCCAGAA